GAUGAACGCUGGCGGCGUGCCUAAUACAUGCAAGUCGAGCGAACGGACGAGAAGCUUGCUUCUCUGAUGUUAGCGGCGGACGGGUGAGUAACACGUGGAUAACCUACCUAUAAGACUGGGAUAACUUCGGGAAACCGGCGCUAAUACCGGAUAAUAUUUUGAACCGCAUGGUUCAAAAGUGAAAGACGGUCUUGCUGUCACUUAUAGAUGGAUCCGCGCUGCAUUAGCUAGUUGGUAAGGUAACGGCUUACCAAGGCAACGAUGCAUAGCCGACCUGAGAGGGGGAUCGGCCACACUGGAACUGAGACACGGUCCAGACUCCUACGGGAGGCAGCAGUAGGGAAUCUUCCGCAAUGGGCGAAAGCCUGACGGAGCAACGCCGCGUGAGUGAUGAAGGUCUUCGGAUCGUAAAACUCUGUUAUUAGGGAAGAACAUAUGUGUAAGUAACUGUGCACAUCUUGACGGUACCUAAUCAGAAAGCCACGGCUAACUACGUG
rnacentral:rRNA from 1 species